GUUCUUUCUAGGACUGUCCAACCUGAGAAUGUUGGAUUUGGGUUCAAUCUCAGGUUCGUCAGCCCAUGAAACACU
rnacentral:pre_miRNA from 1 species